CUGACUCACAAGCUCACAAUUGCCUUGUUUUGUUUUGUUGUCUGGGGAAUGAAGCUACGGCUUUGGUCUUGCUAGCUACUAGACAAACACUCUGCUGCUGCACCACAUUCCUAUGCCACAGCCCAGAGUUACAGGGGGAGAAGCACUACAUCCAGACUACAGUGACUACACGGAGGGGAGAUGCUCAUUCUGCUGCUGAUCAAUCAAGGCUCCACUGCACAGUACUUUAAGACGGCACUGCAGGGUUGAGAGCAUAAGCCUUGGAAUGGGACAAUACUGAUGACAAAGGUAACACAACGACAAGCUCAGGGCAGGUUAGUUACUAAUAUAAUGACGUCUUACUGUGGAACAAGUAUUACUGCAUUUACUUUAUGUCUGUUGAGCUCAUCAAGUUCUCCCAUAGAAUCUAGGUAUUAGACACGGUCAUGUUCUGCCAUUCUAGGGAUGAAGGUGUUGAGGUACAACAAUGUAUUCAUAGAUCCCAGGAUUCAGGGGCAGGGCAGAACCUAGGCAGUCCAGUCCCAUCUCCAGAGUCCAUGCCCUCAACUUCUGUGCUGACUGAAAGUUAAGAAAGAGCCAGCAGGUGAUGUGAUCUUCUGUCACAUUUGAUAGCCUAGACCUCAGAAAAUGUCUUUCUGUGAUGUAAAUUUAAGGUCUUCAGCAUUUGGUGGAAUGACUUAAUAAGUGGCCCGGGAAAGGCAGCUACCUAGUACCUGUAGUAUACAUAUACAUAUGUACAUAUACAUACAUACAUAUGUAUGUAUGUAUAUGUACGUACGUACAUACAUACAAAUCCUACAUCCCUGAAUAGAUUUCAAUAGAAACUGUCUCACUCUAUUUGGAUUGCUCUAACAAAAUACCCUAGGCUGGAGACUUUUAUUCUCACAAUUCUAGAGGCAGUGAGGUCCGAGAUGAAGGUACUGGUAGACCUGGUUUCUAGUCAGGGCUCUCUUUCUUUCUGGCUUGUAGCCGGCCAUCUUCUCAAUGAGUCUUCACAUGAGGAAAGCAUGGAGAAGAGAGGAGCUUUCUUAGAUCUCUUCCUAUAAGGGUACUAAUCCUUUUCUUGAAGGUUCUGUUCUCAUCUGUGAACCGUGAAGUCAAACAAGUUGGUGCUUCUAAAACACAGUGAUUGAAUGGACUGCCGAUGGUUGUGAAGGGGACAACCAAGGAUAUUGUUUUAAAAGCUAAUUGGUCCAAGCAGGUCAGACCUGUCCAGGCAAAUCCUACGAAAUUUCAAGGCUCAAGAACAAGCCUCUUCUGCUGAGUGAUCUGCCCUCUCAGCCAUCUGGAGUAGCAAAGGGCUCUCCUCAGCAGUGCUGUUCCAUGGGUGUUGUCAGAGGCUUCUGCCCUGUAGAAACUAGAGUUGUGACCCUAAUAACCUCUGAAUCAUUUUGGGUGGGGGUGGGGGUUGUCUUCCUUCCCUUGCCUUUAAGAACAGCACAUUCUCAGCCACCCUCUGUUCCAUUUCCUUUUGCUGUUCCCCUUGGUGCCUGCCUGCUGUCCUGUCAGGUAAUCACACCUCUCUUCCUGACUUCCGUUGAGAUGCAAAUGCUUCACAUUUAUGCUAAUCUUUUCAGCAAAUGGCUAGUCUGACUACUGCUAAGGUUCUCUUCUCAGCAUGCUUUAUCUGUGUGUGUGUGUGUGUGUGUGUGUGUGUGUGGUGUGUGUAUUUGGUGUGUUAUGCUGAGACUUUUCCACAUCUUAUCUCCUGGUUCCUUUUGCUUAACAAUUCUGUACACAAACAUGAAGGACUCUAAGGGAUAAAUGGUCCCCAGGAAUGGAAGUGGCAUGAACUCCCGAACUAAUUGGGGGCAUGAGGGUGGGGAGGAAAGGAGCUGCUACAAUAAGAGUAAGAGAAGAGGAGAAGAGGAGAGGAAACGGAGGGGCAGAAACAUUGAGUUGGGGGAAGAAUAGAGGAAAGAGAGUAAGAUGAGAGAUACGAUAUCAGAGGGAGCCACUAUAGGCCCGAGAAGGGAUCUGGAACCAGGGAGAUCUCCAGAGACCUACAAGGAUGACAUGAUCUGACAAUCCAGGCAACGGUGGAGAGGAUAACCUAAAAACCCUCCCCCUAAAAUGAGAUUGAUGACUUCUCUUUAUGCCAUCCUAGAGCCCUCAUCCAGUGGCCGAUGGAAACAGAGACAGACAUCCACAGAUAUACAAUGAGCCGAAAUCGGGAAUUUAGUUGAAGAGAGGGAGGAAUGAAGAACGAAGGGGUCUGUACUAGGUUGGAGAAACCCACAGGAACAGUUGACCUGAACAAGGGAGAGCACAUCGACCCCAGAUGCUGUUCAGGAGGCCAGUACAAGACUGAUCCAGACCCCUGAACAUGGAUGUCAAUAAGGAGGCCUCUGCACUCCAGGGAGCCUCUGGUGGUGGAUUAGUAUUUUUCCCUGGUGCAAGAAGGGACUUUGAGAGCCCAUCCCAUACGAAGGGUUACACUAUGGCCCUGGACACAUGGGGAAGGGCCCAGGACCAGCAUAGGAAGACUUGGUGGACUUUGCAGAGCCCUCGUUGAGGGCCCUACCCUGCCUGGGGAGUGGUGGGUGGAUG
ensembl:lncRNA